rnacentral:tRNA from 2 species
UCCCCCAUGGUGUAAUUGGCAACACUCCGGUUUUUGGUACCGUCAUUCCAGGUUCGAGUCCUGGUGGGGGAG